rnacentral:pre_miRNA from 1 species
UACAAUGUUUUGACUCUUCGUCUUAUUUGAAAUUUUUUACGAUUAAUAUUUUUAUUGUUACUAGAUGAUAAAAUAUGAAUAGUACUUUAUGUGUGACUAAUUUUUUAAACUUUUAUACAAAACUUUUAAAUAAAACGAAUGGUUAAAGUAUUGAGCACAGAAAUCGA